AUACUUAUCUGGCAGGGGAGAUACCAUGGUGAAGUAGGGGGUUCACCCAGGGUGAGGCUCAGACAUUACUCUCCAUAUGUGCCGACCCCCCUUGCGAAGUCCCCAAAUGUGUGAAUCUCAACUGCAUAAAAUUCUGGUAGCGGAGGAUGGCGGUCAUGCUCUCCCCUG